rnacentral:rRNA from 1 species
CACCAGGUUGAUUCUGCCUGACGUGGACGCUAGUCUCAUAGAUUUAGCCAUGCAUGUGUAAGCGAAGCCUUUGGGUGGAGCGGCGGACGGCUCAGUAACGGGCAAAUAUUCAAUCUCACGUUCUGGACAACCUCAGGAAACAGAGGGGAAAACGGAGUAAGAGGAUGUGACGAGCAUGCGAUGAUAACACAKAGUGUGCGUGAGAAUAAGAAGCCAUCCCAUCAGUUAAUACGUGCGGUAAGGGCGCACGUAGACUAAGACGGGUACGGGGGAUUAGGGUUUGAUUCCGGAGAGGGAGCCUGAGAGACGGCUACCAGGUCUAAGGAGAGCAGCAGGCGCGAAAAUUACCAAAGCCCACAUUGGGGCGGUAGUGAAGAGACGUGAAAACAAGGACGUGUAAACAACGUCUUGGGUAACUGGAGGUCAAGUCUGGUGCCAGCAUCCGCGGUAAUACCAGCUCCAGGAGUGUCUAUGAUGAUUGCUGCGAUUAAAAAGUCCGUAGUCGAAGGGGAAGGCCCGUCUGUAAUGUUGUGUAUCAAGGACAAAAUAGGACGGGAACACACCGGAGUUAGGAGCGAGUGGGGGCUAGGGUAUUGUGCAGCGAGAGGUGAAAUUUAAUGACCUGCACAGGAGCAACAGAGGCGAAAGCGCUAGCCAGGGGCGUAUCCGAUGAUCAAGGACGUAGGCCGGGGUAUCGAAGACGAUUAGAGACCGUAGUAGUCCCGGCAGUCAACGAUGCCUACACUAUUGUAGAGAAUGUACGAUAGAAGAGAAAUCUAGUAGGGCUAUGGGGAGAGUACGCGCGCAAGCAUAAAAUUUAAAGGAAAUUGACGGAAGAGCACCACAAGGAGUGGAGUGUGCGGCUUAAUUUGACUCAACGCGGGACACCUUACCAUACCCGAUGACCGUGAGAGUGUAGUACACGAUAGGUCAGAGAGUGGUGCAUGGCCGUUAUCGACUAGUGGGGUGACCUUUUGGUUAAUUCCGCUAAGUGGUGAGAUCCCUAGAUAAGCACGGCUUACGACAUGUGCCAAAAGCACAGGAAGAAAGGGGCAAGAACAGGUCAGUGAUGCCCUUAGAUGGUAUGGGCUGCACGCGCACUACAGUGGUCACCACAGACAAACAUUAGAGAUAAUGGUGAUCGAGAGGGAUUGAACACUGCAAUGUGUCCAUGAACGAGGAAUUGCUAGUAUUCGUCAUCUCACUAAGAGACGAAGAAUAUGUCCCUGCUCUUUGUACACACCGCCCGUCGUUAUCGAGGAUGGAACCUGGUGCGAACAAGUGAAAGCAAGUGAGUGCCGGGUUCUAAACUCGAUACAAGUCGUAACAAGGCAGCCGCAGGUGAACCUGUAGCUGGAUCAAAUAGAAACAAAACAAUGAAAUGAAUGAAUAAGACACCACACACAAAGGAUCACUAGGCUCUCUCGUCGAUGAAGGACGUGACAGCACACGAAAGGCAUGGGAAUAGUGAUAAUGACCAUGCGUGUCUGAAUACCAUCCUCGGAUGGGAGUACUCCUUGGAAUUAAGCAUAUGACUAAAGGAAGGAAAAGAAACCAACAGGGAUUCCCAUAGUAGCGGCGAGUGAACAGGGAAGAGUCCACAAGUGUAAUCCUGGCUUGCCGGGAGAUGUCGCCUAGAGAACGGCAGCCGAAGUGUUUGAAACAUCAUGCCAGAGAGGGUUAAAGCCCCGUAGGCAGCCGGUAGGUGGAUAUGAGUAAUUGUGCUUGGUAGUGCACAAUGAAGAGGUGGCAGUGUCCAUCUAAGACUAAAUACAGAGAGAGACCGAUAGCGAAUAAGUAGGACGACCGAACGUGUGAAAUUGUGUGUGGAUCCGAAUGAAUCGGACCCGUCUUGAAACACGGACCAAGGAGA